rnacentral:rRNA from 1 species
UACGGAGGGUGCAAGCGUUGUUCGGAAUUACUGGGCGUAAAGCGCGUGCAGGCGGCCGAUUAAGUCCGGUGUGAAAGCCCGGGGCUCACCCCCGGAAGUGCGCUGGAAACUGAUCGGCUAGAGUACGGGAGAGGGAAGCGGAAUUCCUGGUGUAGCGGUGAAAUGCGUAGAUAUCAGGAGGAACACCGGUGGCGAAGGCGGGUCUCUGGGCCGAUACUGACGCUGAGGAGCGAAAGCAUGGGGAGCGAACAGG